AGAGCUUAACGCCUGCCUCCAACCUGCCCGUCUCACGCCGGCCUCUAGUGUAAAAAGUGGUUCUUUUGCCGCGGCCGACACUUUUCGAGUUUCUCGCCGAACUAUAUAACAGCCGAUAAAUUAAGGUAAAACUACGAGACUUACACA
ensembl:ncRNA F47G3.7 ncRNA